UACGUAGGGUGCGAGCGUUGUCCGGAAUUAUUGGGCGUAAAGGGCUCGUAGGCGGUUUGUCGCGUCGGGAGUGAAAUCAUCUGGCUUAACUGGGUGCUUGCUUUCGAUACGGGCAGACUAGAGGUAUGCAGGGGAGAACGGAAUUCCUGGUGUAGCGGUGAAAUGCGCAGAUAUCAGGAGGAACACCGGUGGCGAAGGCGGUUCUCUGGGCAUGAUCUGACGCUGAGGAGCGAAAGUGUGGGGAGUGAACAGG
rnacentral:rRNA from 1 species